UCUAAUUAGUUUAAAUAAAACGUAACUUUGUCAAAGUUAUAAUACUAUUAUUAGUAUUAGAUUA
rnacentral:tRNA from 1 species